rnacentral:rRNA from 1 species
GACGAACGCUGGCGGCGUGCUUAACACAUGCAAGUCGAACGGAAAGGCCCUGCUUUUGUGGGGUGCUCGAGUGGCGAACGGGUGAGUAACACGUGAGUAACCUGCCCUUGACUUUGGGAUAACUUCAGGAAACUGGGGCUAAUACCGGAUAGGAGCUCCUGCUGCAUGGUGGGGGUUGGAAAGUUUCGGCGGUUGGGGAUGGACUCGCGGCUUAUCAGCUUGUUGGUGGGGUAGUGGCUUACCAAGGCUUUGACGGGUAGCCGGCCUGAGAGGGAGACCGGCCACAUUGGGACUGAGAUACGGCCCAGACUCCUACGGGAGGCAGCAGUGGGGAAUAUUGCACGAUGGGCGGAAGCCUGAUGCAGCAACGCCGCGUGCGGGAUGACGGCCUUCGGGUUGUAAACCGCUUUCGCCUGUGACGAAGCGUGAGUGACGGUAAUGGGUAAAGAAGCACCGGCUAACUACGUG